rnacentral:rRNA from 1 species
UAGCCGCCGCGGUAAUUCCGGCGGCCCGAGUGGCGGUCACUAUUAUUGGGCUUAAAGCGUCCGUAGCCGGGUUGGGAAGUCCUCCGGGAAAUCUGGCCGCUUAACGGUCAGAAUGCCGGAGGAUACUCCCAGCCUAGGGAGCGGGAGAGGCCGAGGGUAUUCCCGGAGUAGGGGUGAAAUCCUAUAAUCCCGGGAGGACCACCUGUGGCGAAGGCGCUCGGCUGGAACGCGUCCGACGGUGAGGGACGAAGGCCAGGGGAGCAAACCGGAUUAGAUACCCGGGUAGUCCUGGCGGUAAACGAUGCGGACUUUGUGUCGGACAAGCUAUGAGCUUGUCCGGUGCCGGAGGGAAACCGUUAAGUCCGCCGCCUGGGGAGUACGGCCGCAAGGCUGAAACUUAAAGGAAUUGGCGGG